rnacentral:tRNA from 1 species
UGAAAGAUAGGCUAUAACAUUAAGCCUAUAGGUUCAUACCCUAUCGAAAAGAUUACUUUCUUUCAA